UACGGGGGGAGCAAGCGUUGUUCGGAUUUACUGGGCGUAAAGCGCGCGCAGGCGGUCAUUUAAGUCUGGUGUUUAAUCCUAGGGCUCAACCCUAGGUCGCACUGGAAACUGGGUGACUUGAGUACAGAAGAGGAAAGUGGAAUUCCACGUGUAGCGGUGAAAUGCGUAGAGAUGUGGAGGAACACCAGUGGCGAAGGCGACUUCUUGGCCGUGUUCUUGACGCUGAGGCGCGGAAAGCUGGGGGAGCAAACGGG
rnacentral:rRNA from 1 species